rnacentral:rRNA from 1 species
CCCUUCCGCACUCUAGCCUUGCAGUAUCAGCUGCUGUUCUUCCGUUAAGCAGAAGGCUUUCACAACUGACUUACAAAGCCGCCUGCGUGCUCUUUACGCCCAAUAAUUCCGAACAACGCUUGCCGCCUCUGUAUUACCGCGGCUGCUGGCACAGAGUUAGCCGUGGCUUCCUCCGGAGCCUUAGUCAAGUAGGGAUACUAUUAGCACCCUUA